AUGACGUCAAGUCCUCAUGGCCUUUAUGGCCAGGGCUACACACGUACUACAAUGGCCGGUACAAAGGGCAGCGACAUUGCGAGAUGGAGCGAAUCCCGAAAGCCGGUCUCAGUCCGGAUUGGAGUCUGCAACUCGACUCCAUGAAGUUGGAAUCGCUAGUAAUCGUGGAUCAGCAUGCCACGGUGAAUACGUUCCCGGGCCUU
rnacentral:rRNA from 1 species